UACGUAGGGGGCAAGCGUUGUCCGGAAUCAUUGGGCGUAAAGAGCGUGUAGGCGGCUCGGUAAGUCCGCUCUGAAAGCCCGGGGCUCAACCCCGGGAGGCGGGCGGAUACUGUCGGGCUAGAGUCCGGAAGAGGCGAGUGGACUUCCUGGUGUAGCGGUGAAAUGCGCAGAUAUCAGGAGGAACACCAAUGGCGAAGGCAGCUCGCUGGGACGGUAUUGACGCUGAGACGCGAAAGCGUGGGGAGCAACAGG
rnacentral:rRNA from 1 species